GACAUGAUACAACACACGCGAAGUAAACAAAAGUUGUCUGGUUACAGUGGAAGGAAUUAAAGAUGUGUGUGUGUGUGUGUGUGUGUGUAUCCCAGACAGACAGUAUCCUCCAUGCCCCCCCCCCCCGCCGCCAGCUGUCUGCCCUGCCCAGACAGUGGCCCCGUGCCUGGUGCCACGGCCCGACGCCGUGCCAGCUGAUCCUUGGGCACAGGAGUCAGCCUGACCCCGACCAACCCCCGUUCCCCUUCUAACCAGCAUUAAAGCCAUUAUUCCAGAUAGAGAGCCUUAUUAUACAAUAUAUGACCACAGCUGGCCUCGCACACACACACACACACACACAGGCCGACAGACAGAGAGGAGGCGGCGGCGGCAUAGUAAAGCAGCGAGAGAGACAGAACAAGAAAGAGAAGAGACAUUUUGUCGCCCACUCGUCUGUUUCCAAAUAUAGCAUCCCCCCCCACCCGUCCCACUCAGCCUCUUGUUUUUGUUAUGGUGCCGUUUUUCCGUCAUCAAAGAUGUGCACAUGAGAAGUGUUGGUUGGGAGCCCUCGCUCCGUAGAGACGUUUGUUUGGCUUUUUGAGGAGUGAUGUUUUGAUGGCGUCUGCUAAUGUCGGUGGGAAGCCGAGGAGGACGAUUACGCAGACCGGAGACGUCUGGUUGGCCGGUGACAGUGUUUGGAGACACGCGGUUGGUCAGAGUGUCCGGGGGGAAACUGCGGAGAGCAGGAAUGAGAGCCGGACGGACUGUUUCCCAUUUCCAGUGGACGGGGAUGUCUGCUGUUAUUCCAGAGCCAAAUUUCAUCAGAAGUCCAUCGACUCUGCUUGAUGAACCCAACAUUCCUCCCUGCAGACCAACACUGGGCCUGCCAGACUCGGCAGACAAAACAAGACAUGAAACUGAUAAGGCCAGAUGAAACUAUUCCACUCAUUUGACCAGUCACUGCGGCCUGCCAGAUAUCCUCCGUUCACUACCACAGCCUUGAAGCUGCUACUGUAUUUGAAUGCGUGCAUGGUGUACUGGAAUUGGUUAAAAUAUGGGUUGAAUUAAAGGGAAUGUAUUUAAGUUU